GAAAUGCGAUAAGUAGUGUGAAUUGCAGAAUUCAGUGAAUCACCGAAUCUUUGAACGCACAUUGCGCCCUUUGGUAUUCCUUAGGGCAUGCCUGUUCGAGCGUCAUCUAAACCUUCAAGCCCUGCUUGGUGUUGGGUGCCUGUCCCACCUCCGCGCGCGGACUCACCUCAAAUCCAUUGGCGGCCCCCGCGUCGGCCACGAGCGCAGCAGAAACGCGAACUCGUGAGCCCGUCCGGGCGGCUCCCAGAAGCUACACCCACCCAGUUUGACCUCGGAUCAGGUAGGGAUACCCGCUGAACUUAAGC
rnacentral:misc_RNA from 1 species